CGCAGAGGCAGAGCACACUCCAGAAGCUCGAGCCGCAUCCGCCCGCCCCGCGGAUUACGCAUCUCGCCGCCCCAUGGCCGAUCUCUGCCCGCCGGAGCCCACCACCAACGGCGCUGCCGUCAGCGUCGUCGCCGCGCUACCGGCCGCGAACGCGGCGGCCGCCGUAGCAGCCGAGGCAGACGCCGCAGCCGGAGGGGCGCAGGCGCCCGCGGCCCCCUACUCCAAGCGCCGCCGCCGCCCCAGCGUCCGCCUCGGCGACAUCGACGCCCCGCCCCCGCGGCGGAACCACAAGUCCUCCUCGUCCCACCCGCGCCCGCCGCGCCGCGCGCACCCGGACGACAGCGCCGCCGACCCGCACCACCGCCGGGGGCCCAAGCCGCCCGCCCAGCGCCGCCCGCGCACCGCCUGGAUUCCCGCCGCGCCCUCGGGCGCCGAGGGAUACGACGACAAGGAGGAGCGCUACUACGACGACGAGGACCAGUCCGACUCCGCCGCCGCGAGGGCUAGGGUUUCCGGCAGCCGCGACGCCAGCGGCGACGAGUCCGACGGCGUGGCGGACUGGGGCCUCCCGAACGGCAGGCUCCCCUCCGCCAUGGGAUACAGCGGCGUCAAUGCCUGGCUCCACGGGUUGGGGCUCUCGCGGUACGCUCCGGUGUUUGAGAUCCAUGAGGUGGACGAUGAGGUCCUCCCUAUGCUAACGCUGGAGGACCUCAAGGACAUGGGCAUUGGGGCUGUUGGCUCCAGGAGGAAGAUGUAUGCCGCCAUCCAGAAGCUCCGGAGCGACACCGGCUCCUGAGUUGGUCAUGGUUUGAUGAACAGAAUCCAUUGUUUCAAAGGCGCUGUAUAGGUCAACGCGCAAUCCCUGUGAGGAAUUAUUCCUUGUCAAAUGAGAGCAACCAUUCUUCACCGAAUUUCUUCUACACUACUGGUUAAGGUGAUGCUGGGCGGCUUCAAGAUGGGUGCAAGGAAUUGAUAUGCUGAGGCAUUGAUACAUUGUAAGUUCAAAGAGUAGCGAGUGGAUCUUUUAGUUGAGAAAAUCAUAGUUUUUGGUCCUUUUGAAGUGUCACCUCCAAAAUGUGAUCGUUGUCAAAUAUGAUAGUCUGGUGCAUUUUGCCAUAAUUAAAAGUAUGCUAGGGUUAUUCACUGGGGAGGACUGGUUUUCAGUUUGUGGCUGAAAAGGGGCUCAGGGUAGAAAGGAAUAGCAAAACCCAAGGACACCUUAUGGCUUGUACCUCGGCAGCAUUUUGACAGGCAUGAGUUGUUCUCAGAAAAGCUGUAGAAAUAGAGAGUAUCCCAACAAACUGUACUUAGGUUCAGUUGGGGUCAAAUUUUCAGGGCACGUUGGCAGAUAAUGUGCCAUGCCCUUGCUGCUGGGCUGAUUACGCCGCAAUGGCAAACGAAGUGGAGAAAUUUCACCACAAGCUUUAUCUGUAUUGAAGUGAAGUAACUAGUAAUAUGUUUUGUUGAGUGGAAUACCUCA